rnacentral:misc_RNA from 1 species
AAUCUCGGAUGGCGAUGGAGGAUGCGGGGGAGCACCUCUGAAAUAUCUCGGCAUUUGUGCCACGGCGAAACGUGUGAAGCAUUGCUGGAUUUUUAAUUUUC